UACAGAGGGGGCAAGCGUUGUUCGGAAUUACUGGGCGUAAAGGGCGCGUAGGCGGCCCGCUAAGUCGAACGUGAAAUCCCCAGGCUUAACCUGGGAACUGCGUCCGAUACUGGCAGGCUUGAAUCCGGGAGAGGGAUGUGGAAUUCCAGGUGUAGCGGUGAAAUGCGUAGAUAUCUGGAGGAACACCGGUGGCGAAGGCGGCAUCCUGGACCGGUAUUGACGCUGAGGCGCGAAAGCUAGGGGAGCAAACAGG
rnacentral:rRNA from 1 species